rnacentral:lncRNA from 10 species
AUAUACAUGUACUUGGCCGGCAUGAGGAAGAGCAAUGUGGAAGGAUACAGAUAGUUGGGAACAUAUAGUGCCUGUGAAUGACCAGUAUGCUCACUCCAAUAACAUCAGGCAAGCAAUUCCACAUAAUACUGAAGAAGGCUGUUGAAGUGACUGAAUCUGGCCAAAUAUUCUGAGCGUUUCGGAGGGAUUUUUAACAUUCUAAAUGCUAUCUGGAACAUCGAUGCAGCAUGGGAAGAAGUCACACAGCCAUGCAUGAACAGCAUUUGGAAGAAAGUUUUGAAGACAUAUGUGAACACAUUCAAAAUGUUAACAGAGAUUCUGCCGUAUUCAUAAGCUUGUUGGCAUCGAGGCUGAAGAGCUUUCCAAUGAGAAGCUGGAAAAAGAAAGAAGUAAAGAAGUUGGGGCAAAGAUAGAAGAAAU